rnacentral:rRNA from 1 species
GACGAACGCUGGCGGCGUGCUUAACACAUGCAAGUCGAACGCUGAAGACCUGGCUUUUGUUGGGUUGGAUGAGUGGCGAACGGGUGAGUAACACGUGAGUAACCUGCCCUCUUCUUUGGGAUAACGCCCGGAAACGGGUGCUAAUACUGGAUAUUCACUGAUCUUCGCAUGGGGGUUGGUGGAAAGGUUUGUUCUGGUGGGGGAUGGGCGCGCGGCCUAUCAGCUUGUUGGGGGGGUGAUGGCCUACGAAGGCUUUGACGGGUAGCCGGCCUGAGAGGGUGGCCGGUCAGGUUGGGAAUGGGAUACGGCCCAGACUACUGCGGGAGGCAGCAGUGGGGAAUAGUGCACAAUGGGCGAAAGCGUGAUGCAGAGACGCGGCGUGAGGGAUGGAGGACUUCGGGUUGUAAACGUCUUUCGCUCAUGGUCAAGCAGCAACUGUGGGUUGUGGUGAGGGUAGUGGGUAAAGAAGCGCCGGCUAACUACGUG